rnacentral:rRNA from 1 species
AUACGGAGGAUCCGAGCGUUAUCCGGAUUUAUUGGGUUUAAAGGGUGCUCAGGCGGGGGAUUAUGUCGGCGGUGAAAUUUUGCAGCUCAACUGUAAAAGUGCCUUCGAAACUGGUUUCCUUGAGUGUGGAUGAGGUAGGCGGAAUUUGUGGUGUAGCGGUGAAAUGCAUAGAUAUCACGAGGAACUCCGAUUGCGCAGGCAGCUUACUAAACCAUAACUGACGCUCAAGCACGAAGGCGUGGGGAUCAAACAGGAUUAGAUACCCUGGUAGUCCACGCAGUAAACGAUGAUUACUGGCUGUUUGCGAUAUAAUGUAAGCGGCUGAGCGAAAGCGUUAAGUAAUCCACCUGGGGAGUACGUUCGCAAGAAUGAAACUCAAAGGAAUUGGCGGGG